rnacentral:rRNA from 1 species
GACGAACGCUGGCGGCGUGCUUAACACAUGCAAGUCGAGCGGUAAGGCCCUUUCGGGGGUACACGAGCGGCGAACGGGUGAGUAACACGUGGGUGACCUGCCCUCAGCUCUGGGAUAAGCCUGGGAAACCGGGUCUAAUACCGGAUAUGACUCCAUGACGCAUGUUGUGGGGUGGAAAGCCUUGUGCGGCUGAGGAUGGGCCCGCGGCCUAUCAGCUUGUUGGUGGGGUGAUGGCCUACCAAGGCGACGACGGGUAGCCGGUCUGAGAGGGCGACCGGCCACACUGGGACUGAGACACGGCCCAGACUCCUACGGGAGGCAGCAGUGGGGAAUCUUGCGCAAUGGGCGAAAGCCUGACGCAGCGACGCCGCGUGAGGGAUGAC